UACGGAGGGGGCUAGCGUUGUUCGGAAUUACUGGGCGUAAAGCGCGCGUAGGCGGACCUGCAAGUCGGGGGUGAAAGCCCGAGGCUCAACCUCGGAACUGCCUUCGAUACUGCGGGUCUCGAGUCCGGGAGAGGUGAGUGGAAUUCCUAGUGUAGAGGUGAAAUUCGUAGAUAUUAGGAAGAACACCAGUGGCGAAGGCGGCUCACUGGCCCGGUACUGACGCUGAGGAGCGAAAGCGUGGGUAGCAAACAGG
rnacentral:rRNA from 1 species